rnacentral:rRNA from 1 species
AGUAAUGCCUAGGAAUCUGCCUGGUAGUGGGGGACAACGUUUCGAAAGGAACGCUAAUACCGCAUACGUCCUAUGGGAGAAAGCAGGGGACCUUCGGGCCUUGCGCUAUCAGAUGAGCCUAGGUCGGAUUAGCUAGUUGGUGAGGUAAUGGCUCACCAAGGCGACUAUCCGUAACUGGUCUGAGAGGAUGAUCAGUCACACUGGAACUGAGACACGGUCCAG